CGGGUACCCGUGUUCACCAAUAAAGCCUCUUGCUGAUUACAUCCGAAUCGUGGUCUCGCUGAUCCUUGGGAGGGUCUCCUCAGAUUGAUUGACUACCCACCGCGGGGGUCUUUCAUUUGGAGGUCCCACCGAGAUUAGGAGACCCCUGCCCAGGGACCACCGACCCCCGCCGGGAGCUCACUUACAGGCCCUCCAAGCAGUACAACGAGAGGUCUGGAAGCCACUGGCCGCUGCUUAUCAGGACCAGCUGGAUCAGCCAGUGAUACCACACCCCUUCCGCGACGGCGACGCCGUGUGGGUACGCCGGCACCAGACUAAAAACUUAGAACCCCGCUGAAAAGGACCCUACACCGUCCUGCUGACCACCCCCACCGCUCUCAAAGUAGACGGCAUCUCUGCGUGGAUACACGCCGCUCACGUAAAGGCGGCGACAACUCCUCCGGCCGGAACAGCAUGGAAGGUCCAGCGUUCUCAAAAUCCCUUAAAGAUAAGAUUAACCCGUGGGGCCCCCUGAUAGUUACAGGUCCCCAUGGUUCACGACCUUGAUAUCCACCAUUAUGGGCCCCUUGAUAAUACUUUUAUUAAUCCUACUCCUUAGACCCUGUAUUCUCAACCGCUUGGUCCAGUUUGUAAAAGACAGAAUUUCGGUGGUGCAGGCCCUGGUUCUGACCCAACAGUAUCACCAACUCAAAUCAAUAGAUCCAG
rnacentral:lncRNA from 1 species